UACGUAGGGUGCAAGCGUUAAUCGGAAUUACUGGGCGUAAAGCGUGCGUAGGCGGUUAUGUAAGACAGGUGUGAAAUCCCCGGGCUUAACCUGGGAACUGCAUUUGUGACUGCAUAGCUAGAGUACGGUAGAGGGGGAUGGAAUUCCGCGUGUAGCAGUGAAAUGCGUAGAUAUGCGGAGGAACACCGAUGGCGAAGGCAAUCCCCUGGACCUGUACUGACGCUCAUGCACGAAAGCGUGGGGAGCAAACAGG
rnacentral:rRNA from 1 species